CGUGCCAGAGCGCGUGUGCAAGUGUGCGUGUUGCUGGAAGAGAGAACGGGAGCGCGCGCCACAUCUCUGCCCCGGUCUGUGGUGCUCCUCUCUUUCUCGCUCUCCGGGAUAAGGCGAUGGCGGGAGCGAGGCGCGCGCAGCACGCAGCACGUAAUUUCCAGUGCUCUGCGAUGUUUGAAGGAGACAGUUUGGAGACAGAAGGAGUGAAAACAGAGAGCAGUCUGGCCUCGUCCAUCUCCGCCUGCAAAAAGGUACACACCUGUGCUCCUGUGUGUGUGUGUGUUCACACUGAGCUUCAGAAAUGCAGGAUAAUCAGAUUAGCCACA
rnacentral:lncRNA from 1 species